GCAUAAACGCAUAGACAUGAUAUUCUAGCAGAAUAAUAAAUAAUGGAACCAGGUCUGACGUAAACGCACAGACAGGAUAUUCUGACAGAAUAAUAAAUAAUGGAACCAGGUCCGGCAUAAACGCACAGACAAGAUAUUCCGACAGAUAAAGAACGAAAUAUUAGAAGAAUUUCACCAUGUAUGCGGUACUUCGCAUAAACAGGUUAUUCCAACAUAAUGAUAAAAAAUGGAAUAACAGAAGAAUUUCACCAUGUAUGCGGUACUUCGCAUAGACAGAUUAUUCCAACAUAAUAAUAAUGAAUGGAAUAACAGAAGAAUUUCACCAAGUAUAGGGUAUCCCGCGUAUACAGGUUAUUCCAACAGAAUAAUAAAGAAUGGAAUAACAGAAGUUCUCUUCACGAAUAAGAAAGAAAGAAUACCCCUUACGAGUAGAACAAAUAAUCUCCAUUACCUUAGAAGAUACUGGAUAUUGGAGUAGUGAAGUAGC
rnacentral:lncRNA from 1 species